CCUAUUUCCUAUCCAAAUCACCAAAUUUUGUUGUUUUGUUUGUUUCCAAAGAAGAGAACUGCUUUGGAUACAGUGGACCUGAGAAACUGGACACAAUUUUUUAGAGCUGGACUUCUGAAAGCAAAGACUUAUGCAGGAAGGUUGAAAACAAGGAGGUGAGUGCGGACCACGACCAAAGAGUCAAAGGAAGGUUUAGAACCCAUAAGAACAAAUGCAUUCAGGAGGCAGAGUGAGAGAGUGGUGUGACAGAGCUGCCCACUGCUAUGAAACCACCAAACUACAAUGGCUUAUGCACCCAAGAAAAGGAAAAUAUAAUGUGUGGGUUGGCUUCCUGAGGAAUUAUCUCGUGUUCUUGCUCUCAGAAAACUGGGAGAAAACACUGAAUGAUGGAGCUCAGGAUCUCAUUCCACCACAUAGCUUCAGCCUUACAAAGGCUUUUCAUGUUAAGAACAGCAAUUCCUUUCCUUUCAGCAAAGCAGGAUUUGCAAAGCCCAACAAACUCACAGAUUUCCUUAUUAGUUGACAAUCACCAAGUUUUUACUAAGAAUUAAA
rnacentral:lncRNA from 1 species